UGUGCUUGCACAGAGGGAACUGACGAUAGUUAAGAUUGCGUGUGUUUGUGCGUGCAUGGGUGGGUGUGUGGGUGGGUGGCUUCAGGCUGUAGGCUUCAGGCUGCUGGUCUGGGGCCCAGUGUAGUGUGUCUCUCUAUCUGUGUUUUCAUGUUUGUGUGAUUUGAAUUGUGAUUUUGUGGAUUCAAAUAAAGUAUUUAAAACGUGUGUGUUUGUUUCUCUCCCUCUGUGUGUUGUGGUGUUCAGAGGAGAGGGCUCUGUGGCGGUCCUCCUCUCUGUGCUCCGGUCCCCAUGGAGAAACCCCCCAAUGUCCUCUCUCUCUCUCUCUCUCUCUCUCUCUCUCUCUCUCUCUCUCUCUCUCUCUCUCUCUCUCUCUCUCUCUCUCCAGCUACACCAGGAGAUGUUUUGAUGUCAGCUGCAUCUCUUUGUCUCUUCCUCCCUCUCCCCUCAUCUUUUUCUUUAUCGUUUUCUCUUUUCCCGUUCCCUCCCUCUCUCGCUGUCUCUCUGCAAAGCUCAGGUUGUGGUGCUUACAGGACUCGGCAGCGCCACUGUACUCCUCACCAUUUGAUCAUUAAUUUAUCACAGCUCCAACAGUUUGUUUGACAGGUGCAGUAACUUUCAUCUGGUGGGCUUGGCAGCAUUUGCUGCUCUCUCUCUCUCUCUCUGACUCCCCCUCUCUCCCCCUGUCUUUUGCUUCUCCUCCUCUCUCCCCCCUCCCAUCUCUCCUCACCCUUCUCUCUCUCUCCACUUUCUCUCAGCCCUGGUAAGGUGAAAGUAAAGACAGGAGCCACCUCUCCCUAACAGGAUCCAUUUGCCCCUCUCUGGUAAUGAGAAGACAAACAUACACUGUUCCUCUCUGAUACAUCAUGUUUUAUUGAUACAGUCAGCUUAGGGAAUACAUGAAUGGGAACAGGAGGAUCAUUUGGGGGCCUUGUAGGCCUAUGUGUAACUAGCUGGUGAUGUUGUUGUUAAUCGACUUGUGGUGCUAUAGCAACAGCAUAGCUCUUUCUUUGUAUCUCUCUACCAUCUCUCUCAGUAUAUGUAUUUAUAUCACUGAUGUAUCUUUGUCUUGUUACCCCUCCAUCUUUCUUCCUGAAACUAUCUUUUCUCUUUCUUCCACAAAGAUUAAUCUACCUUGUCUGAUUGGUAACCUGAACAGGAAGGUUGUGUGGAGAGACUCCAUCAUGAUGAGUUGAUCAUCCCUGAUCAGAGAAAGGCCCUUAGUUCAUCCAUUAUAUUGACCCAGAGUAAAGGUUCAUACCAUUAUAUUGACCCAGAGUAAAGGUUCAUAUCAGUAUAUUGACCCAGAGUAAAGGUUCAUACCAGUAUAUUGACCCAGAGUAAAGGUUCAUACCAGUAUAUUGACCCAGAGUAAAGGUUCAUACCAGUAUAUUGACCCAGAGUAAAGGUUCAUACCAGUAUAUUGACCCAGAGUAAAGGUUCAUUCCAGUAUAUUGACCCAGAGUAAAGGUUCAUACCAGUAUAUUGACCCAGAGUAAAGGUUCAUACCAUUAUAUUGACCCAGAGUAAAGGUUCAUACCAGUAUAUUGACCCAGAGUAAAGGUUCAUUCCAGUAUAUUGACCCAGAGUAAAGGUUCAUACCAGAAUAUUGACCCAGAGUAAAGGUUCAUACCAGUAUAUUGACCCAGAGUAAAGGUUCAUACCAUUAUAUUGACCCAGAAAAAGGUUCAUGCCAUUAUAUUGACCCAGAGUAAAGGUUCAUACCAUUAUAUUGACCCAGAAAAAAGGUUCAUACCAUUAUAUUGACCAAGAGUAAAGGUUCAGACCAGGAUGUUGACCCAGAGUAAAGGUUCAGGACAGAAAGCCUAUAGCAACAGCAUAGCUCUUUCUUUGUAUCUCUCUACCAUCUCUCUCAGUAUAUGUAUUUAUAUCACUGAUGUAUCUUUGUCUUGUUACCCCUCCAUCUUUCUUCCUGAAACUAUCUUUUCUCUUUCUUCCACAAAGAUUAAUCUACCUUGUCUGAUUGGUAACCUGAACAGGAAGGUUGUGUGGAGAGACUCCGUCAUGAUGAGUUGAUCAUCCCUGAUCAGAGAAAGGCCGUUAGUUCACUCUGCUCUCUGUGGGAAUGUGCUAACAUACACCGCCUGUGUCCAGCUCAGCCCACCCACUCCUUACCGUCAGACUGUCCUUCUCUCUUUUUCUCUGUAUUUUUCACUGUUCCUGUCUUUUUCUUCACAUGCCAUACUUUCCCUCUCACUUCCUCUUUUAAAUCCAUCUCUGUCUACCAACUGUAAACCAUUAAACAGCCCCUCCUUCCUCUCCCAUAUCUAUCUUCACUCCACUAUUAAGGCAUUCUCUCUCUGUCCUAAUCCUGUGAACAACAUUUUUAUUCCUGGAUACUGGAUGUUGUAUGAGAUCAAGGGCCCCUAUAGCCUCAUAGGUUCUCAUAGAUCAAGGGCCCCUAUAGCCUCAUAGGUUCUCAUAGAUCAGUGGCCCCUAUAGCCUCAUAGGUUCUCAUAGAUCAAGGGCCCCUAGAGCCUCAUAGGUUCUCAUAGAUCAAGGCCUCCAGAAGAGCAGCUUAGGAUACCCUCAUAUCUCUCCCACCCUCCAUCAUUUACUCUCUCCCUCCAUUCUUUACAUCCAUAAUUACUCCCUCUCCCUCUCUCUCGCUUCCUCCCUCUCCCUCUCUCUCUCUUGCUCUCUCUUGCUCUCUCCCCCUCCCUCUCCGUCUCUCUCUCUCUCUCUCGCUCUC
rnacentral:lncRNA from 1 species